GUGCCAGCCGCCGCGGUAAUACGGAGGGUGCAAGCGUUGUCCGGAAUCACUGGGCGUAAAGGGUGCGCAGGCGGGGCAGCAAGUCGGAGGUGAAAGCCCGUGGCUCAACCACGGAAGUGCCUUCGAAACUGUUGCUCUUGAGUCCCGGAGAGGUUGCCGGAAUUCGUGGUGUAGCGGUGAAAUGCGUAGAUAUUGGAAGGAAUACCGGUGGCGAAGGCGGCCACCUGGUCAGAGACCGACGCUGAGGUACGAAAACGUGGGGAGCAAACAGGAUUAGAAACCCUAGUAGUCC
rnacentral:rRNA from 1 species